rnacentral:rRNA from 1 species
UACGUAGGGCGCAAGCGUUGUUCGGAAUUACUGGGCGUAAAGGGCUCGUAGGUGGCCAACUAAGUCAGACGUGAAAUCCCUCAGCUUAACUGGGGAACUGCGUCUGAUACUGGAUGGCUUGAGUUUGGGAGAGGGAUGCGGAAUUCCAGGUGUAGCGGUGAAAUGCGUAGAUAUCUGGAGGAACACCGGUGGCGAAGGCGGCAUCCUGGACCAACACUGACACUGAUGAGCGAAAGCCAGGGGAGCAAACGGG